GGGUUGUGAGGUUAAGCGACUAAGCGUACACGGUGGAUGCCCUGGCAGUCAGAGGCGAUGAAGGACGUGCUAAUCUGCGAAAAGCGCCGGCGAGGUGAUAUGAACCUUUGACCCGGCGAUGUCCGAAUGGGGAAACCCAGUGUGAUUCGUCACACUAUCGUUAACUGAAUACAUAGGUUAACGAGGCGAACCGGGGGAACUGAAACAUCUAAGUACCCCGAGGAAAAGAAAUCAACCGAGAUUCCCCCAGUAGCGGCGAGCGAACGGGGAGCAGCCCAGAGUCUGAAUCAGCUUGUGUGUUAGUGGAAGCGUCUGGAAAGUCGCACGGUACAGGGUGACAGUCCCGUACACGAAAGCACACAGGCUGUGAACUCGAAGAGUAGGGCGGGACACGUGGUAUCCUGUCUGAAUAUGGGGGGACCAUCCUCCAAGGCUAAAUACUCCUGACUGACCGAUAGUGAACCAGUACCGUGAGGGAAAGGCGAAAAGAACCCCGGCGAGGGGAGUGAAAAAGAACCUGAAACCGUGUACGUACAAGCAGUGGGAGCCUCUUUUAUGGGGUGACUGCGUACCUUUUGUAUAAUGGGUCAGCGACUUAUAUUCUGUAGCAAGGUUAACCGUAUAGGGGAGCCGAAGGGAAACCGAGUCUUAACUGGGCGUUAAGUUGCAGGGUAUAGACCCGAAACCCGGUGAUCUAGCCAUGGGCAGGUUGAAGGUUGGGUAACACUAACUGGAGGACCGAACCGACUAAUGUUGAAAAAUUAGCGGAUGACUUGUGGCUGGGGGUGAAAGGCCAAUCAAACCGGGAGAUAGCUGGUUCUCCCCGAAAGCUAUUUAGGUAGCGCCUCGUGAACUCAUCUUCGGGGGUAGAGCACUGUUUCGGCUAGGGGGCCAUCCCGGCUUACCAACCCGAUGCAAACUACGAAUACCGAAGAAUGUUAUCACGGGAGACACACGGCGGGUGCUAACGUCCGUCGUGAAGAGGGAAACAACCCAGACCGCCAGCUAAGGUCCCAAAGUCAUGGUUAAGUGGGAAACGAUGUGGGAAGGCACAGACAGCCAGGAUGUUGGCUUAGAAGCAGCCAUCAUUUAAAGAAAGCGUAAUAGCUCACUGGUCGAGUCGGCCUGCGCGGAAGAUGUAACGGGGCUAAACCAUGCACCGAAGCUGCGGCAGCGACGCUUAUGCGUUGUUGGGUAGGGGAGCGUUCUGUAAGCCGUUGAAGGUGUCCUGUGAGGGGUGCUGGAGGUAUCAGAAGUGCGAAUGCUGACAUAAGUAACGAUAAAGCGGGUGAAAAGCCCGCUCGCCGGAAGACCAAGGGUUCCUGUCCAACGUUAAUCGGGGCAGGGUGAGUCGACCCCUAAGGCGAGGCCGAAAGGCGUAGUCGAUGGGAAACAGGUUAAUAUUCCUGUACUUGGUGUUACUGCGAAGGGGGGACGGAGAAGGCUAUGUUAGCCGGGCGACGGUUGUCCCGGUUUAAGCAUGUAGGCGGAGGUUCCAGGUAAAUCCGGUUCCUUGUUAACGCUGAGGUGUGAUGACGAGGCACUACGGUGCUGAAGUAACAAAUGCCCUGCUUCCAGGAAAAGCCUCUAAGCAUCAGGUAACACGAAAUCGUACCCCAAACCGACACAGGUGGUCAGGUAGAGAAUACCAAGGCGCUUGAGAGAACUCGGGUGAAGGAACUAGGCAAAAUGGUGCCGUAACUUCGGGAGAAGGCACGCUGAUAUGUAGGUGAAGCCCCUGCGGGUGGAGCUGAAAUCAGUCGAAGAUACCAGCUGGCUGCAACUGUUUAUUAAAAACACAGCACUGUGCAAACACGAAAGUGGACGUAUACGGUGUGACGCCUGCCCGGUGCCGGAAGGUUAAUUGAUGGGGUUAGCGGUAACGCGAAGCUCUUGAUCGAAGCCCCGGUAAACGGCGGCCGUAACUAUAACGGUCCUAAGGUAGCGAAAUUCCUUGUCGGGUAAGUUCCGACCUGCACGAAUGGCGUAAUGAUGGCCAGGCUGUCUCCACCCGAGACUCAGUGAAAUUGAACUCGCUGUGAAGAUGCAGUGUACCCGCGGCAAGACGGAAAGACCCCGUGAACCUUUACUAUAGCUUGACACUGAACACUGGUCCUUGAUGUGUAGGAUAGGUGGGAGGCUUUGAAGCGUGGACGCCAGUCUGCGUGGAGCCAACCUUGAAAUACCACCCUUUAAUGGCUGGUGUUCUAACGUAGACCCGUGAUCCGGGUUGCGGACAGUGUCUGGUGGGUAGUUUGACUGGGGCGGUCUCCUCCCAAAGAGUAACGGAGGAGCACGAAGGUUAGCUAAUCCUGGUCGGACAUCAGGAGGUUAGUGCAAUGGCAUAAGCUAGCUUGACUGCGAGAGUGACGGCUCGAGCAGGUGCGAAAGCAGGUCAUAGUGAUCCGGUGGUUCUGAAUGGAAGGGCCAUCGCUCAACGGAUAAAAGGUACUCCGGGGAUAACAGGCUGAUACCGCCCAAGAGUUCAUAUCGACGGCGGUGUUUGGCACCUCGAUGUCGGCUCAUCACAUCCUGGGGCUGAAGUAGGUCCCAAGGGUAUGGCUGUUCGCCAUUUAAAGUGGUACGCGAGCUGGGUUUAGAACGUCGUGAGACAGUUCGGUCCCUAUCUGCCGUGGGCGCUGGAGAAUUGAGGGGGGCUGCUCCUAGUACGAGAGGACCGGAGUGGACGCAUCACUGGUGUUCGGGUUGUCAUGCCAAUGGCACUGCCCGGUAGCUAAAUGCGGAAGAGAUAAGUGCUGAAAGCAUCUAAGCACGAAACUUGCCCCGAGAUGAGUUCUCCCUGAGACUUUAAGUCUCCUGAAGGAACGUUGAAGACUACGACGUUGAUAGGUCGGGUGUGUAAGCGCAGCGAUGCGUUGAGCUAACCGAUACUAAUGAACCGUGAGGCUUAACCUUACAACGCCGAAGGUGUUU
rnacentral:rRNA from 1 species